ensembl:rRNA 5S_rRNA 5S ribosomal RNA
GUCUAUGACCAUGCCACCUUGAAUAAGCCUGAUCCCAUCUGAUCUCGGAAGCUAAGCAGGAUCAGGCCUGGUUAGUGCUUGGAUGGAAGACCACCUAGGAGGACCAAGUGCUGUAGACA